UGGAAAAGGCUGCAGAAGGAGAUGCCACCACACUUCAGAACAGUGCUGAUAGACUACGUUCUGAGGUAAACACACUGUGGAAAAUGAGAGAAACAGAGAUUGUCGUUGCAGCCAUUAAAUCAUCUGACAAUUUGUCCAUCUGUCUACGACACAAAGAUUUCCUGUCACUGAGACCUCACAAACUCCUUGAUGGCGAGACAAUAGAUUUCUUCAUUCACACCAUUCUGAAGAAGAUGGGUUCAAAACGACUGUACCUACUAGACCACCUUGUUAUGGGUGUUAUUCUUGUCACAAUCCACUCCG